UACGUAGGGUCCAAGCGUUAUCCGGAAUCACUGGGCGUAAAGCGUGCGUAGGUGGCGCGUUAAGUGUGAUGUUAAAUCGUGGGGCUCAACCCUAUCGAUGCAUCGCAUACUGGCGCGCUAGAGGACAGCAGAGGCAAGUGGAAUUUGUAGUGUAGCAGUGAAAUGCGUAGAUAUUACAAGGAACACCAAUGGCGAAGGCAGCUUGCUGGGCUACUCCUGACACUGAGGUACGAAAGCGUGGGGAGCGAACAGG
rnacentral:rRNA from 1 species